rnacentral:rRNA from 1 species
GUGGGGAAUAUUGGACAAUGGGCGCAAGCCUGAUCCAGCAAUACCGCGUGUGUGAAGAAGGCCUGAGGGUUGUAAAGCACUUUUAAUCGGGAGGAACAUCUAGUGGUUAAUACCCAUUAGGCUGACAUUACCGAUAGAAAAAGCACCGGCUAACUCCGUGCCAGCAGCCGCGGUAAUACGGAGGGUGCGAGCGUUAAUCGGAAUUACUGGGCGUAAAGCGUGCGUAGGCGGUUAGCUAAGUCAGAUGUGAAAGCCCCGGGCUUAACCUGGGAACUGCAUUUGAUACUGGGUAACUAGAGUUGAGUAGAGGAGAGGGGAAUUUCAGGUGUAGCGGUGAAAUGCGUAGAGAUCUGAAGGAACACCAGUGGCGAAGGCGCCUCUCUGGACUCAAACUGACGCUGAGGUACGAAAGCGUGGGUAGCAAACAGGAUUAGAAACCCUAGUAGUCC